rnacentral:rRNA from 1 species
AUUGAACGCUGGCGGCAUGCCUUACACAUGCAAGUCGAACGGUAGAGGGGGCAACCCCUCGAGAGUGGCGAACGGGUGAGUAAAGCAUCGGAACGUGCCCAGUAGUGGGGGAUAGCCCGGCGAAAGCCGGAUUAAUACCGCAUGAGACCUACGGGUGAAAGGGGGGGAUCGCAAGACCUCUCGCUAUUGGAGCGGCCGAUGUCAGAUUAGGUAGUUGGUGGGGUAAAGGCCUACCAAGCCGACGAUCUGUAGCUGGUCUGAGAGGACGACCAGCCACACUGGGACUGAGACACGGCCCAGACUCCUACGGGAGGCAGCAGUGGGGAAUUUUGGACAAUGGGCGAAAGCCUGAUCCAGCCAUGCCGCGUGCGGGAAGAAGGCCUUCGGGUUGUAAACCGCUUUUGUCAGGGAAGAAAUCCUUUGAGCUAAUACCUCGGGGGGAUGACGGUACCUGAAGAAUAAGCACCGGCUAACUACGUGCCAGCAGCCGCCGCAGUAA